GCUUUGGCAGACCCUCUCACCGAUCGAACUUAUCUGACCUCUUGAUGAAAUUAUAUUUUGAUCAGAUUACUUGACUAUUCGAGCUGACCCAUAUUAGCUAGGUAAAUCAGUGUGACUGAUUUAGGUGCUCCUAGACCAGCCUUUUUAAUGGUCUCCCUUAAGCUGACUUGGUGAAGCCAGUGGGAGGAUCAUGAUAAGCUGGUGCAUCUGACCUCCUCCUCUACAUCAAUUAAAUUUUUAAAAAUUAUUAGGUUUAAAAUGAAAUAGUUAUGGUGACAACU
rnacentral:lncRNA from 1 species